rnacentral:hammerhead_ribozyme from 1 species
AUCCAGCUGAUGAGUUCCAAAUAGGAUGAAACGCGCAUCAUGGAU